GUACCAUCUAGGAUUGGGACUAAGUCAAGUGAAAUUAUUUUACCUCAAUAGUUCACUAUUUGGCUUCGUUGUUUUACUUACCUUUUCCCUCUUGGUGGAAAGAAUUUCCGAAAAGAAAUGUAUUGCCUUCGGUGUUGUUUCGUCGAUAGUUCCGAUUUUAACAAUAUUUUAUUUUGCUCUGUUCUGGGAGAAUGAUAUGCCAGUCAAUGCAGCUUAUCUUUUGCUUGUUUCACUGUUAUUUAUUGGUGCCCAGUUCGUAAACUUUCCUCUGCUCGGUUCAUUGUUAUCAAAACUAACAUCAGCUGAGACUGCCUCAUUUUAUCAAAGUCUUACUUUUACCGUAGCUCAUACCACCAUUAUGUUCAGUCGUAUAUUAGCUGGUGCUACGUUUCACAGAAUGCCAAUGAUGUACACCUGUUUUUUUCUUACUAUCUGCUGGUUAUUUGGACUUAUAUGGUUGGGUAUUGAAUAUAAGAACUUGCAAAAAGAUGAGAACUGAAUUGAAACCAACGCGUCUGUUAAGGAUUCGUCUGUGGGUGGCGGGAUCAAGGAAAGGGCCGGGACCUAAGUAUGAGAAUUAGAUAGUAGAUCUGACUUUGGAACAAAACAGUACAACCUAACUGUGAGACCUAGGCGGUGAAAUGAAAUAUUUUAAAAUUGUACCAGGUUUUCAUUCUAGGAACCACCUUGGUCCAUAAUAUUUUCCAUUUUAAAAGCACAGUUCAGCCUUUUGAAUAAUUGAUCUUUAAAGCGCAUUACAACCCUUUUAAUUGAAAAACCUAACUAGAAAAAUCAAUUAAGCAUAAUUCAAGAUCAGCGAACUAAAUGUUUUUAACAUUAAAAAUGUUAUAAAAUGUGAAAAACAUUGAAAUAACAAAAUUCGGAUAGCUCUGUCCCCCCAAAAGUGAUUAUUUCGAGCCUAUUUAACUUGCCCUUACUUGCAUGGUGUAACAAGGGAUCGAGCACGCGCCAUAGCUAUUUGUGUUAAUUUAUACUAACUUUUAAUUACAUGUAAAUGUCUUCAUCGGGCGCCAUUUUGAAUGUUGAAAGCGGUAUAUAUUAUUAGCUUAUGAUACUCCAAAGGGCGACCGAGAAAGAUCCAAAAUUUAAAAUACGGCGGAGAAAAAAUAAAAACAAAGAGGGGAGUGAAACGGCCGAACACGUGAUGGGGUAUUGGCCAAUGGCAAUGCGUAUAUCCAAUUUUGUUAUCUGGCCAUGCUCGUUGAUCAAGAAUUGUCAAAUCUAUCAAAACUUGAAUUGAUUUGCAUCGUUGCUCGCCAGCAGUGAAUUUUCGACAGCAGAGAAACAAAAACAUUUGCGAAUGCUGGACACAAAAUACAGUAUUAAUAAUUCAUGAAGAAAAUUCAAAAGAAAUGAAUGUUUAACCAAUAUUUGUAAAUCGAUCGG